CUACGUGCCAGCAGCCGCGGUAAUACGUAGGGUGCGAGCGUUGUCCGGAAUUAUUGGGCGUAAAGGGCUUGUAGGCGGUUUGUCGCGUCUGCCGUGAAAUCCUCUGGCUUAACUGGGGGCGUGCGGUGGGUACGGGCAGGCUUGAGUGCGGUAGGGGAGACUGGAACUCCUGGUGUAGCGGUGGAAUGCGCAGAUAUCAGGAAGAACACCGGUGGCGAAGGCGGGUCUCUGGGCCGUUACUGACGCUGAGGAGCGAAAGCGUGGGGAGCGAACAGGAUUAGAUACCCUGGUAGUCCACGCUGUAAACGUUGGGCACUAGGUGUGGGGGCCACCCGUGGUUUCUGCGCCGUAGCUAACGCUUUAAGUGCCCCGCCUGGGGAGUACGGCCGCAAGGCUAAAACUCAAAGGAAUUGACGGGGACCCGCACAAGCGGUGGAGCAUGUGGUUUAAUUCGAAGCAAUGCGAAGAACCUUACCAGGUCUUGAGAUCCCGGUGAC
rnacentral:rRNA from 1 species